GCGGUGAGUGCCGUGGCGACUGCCGGGGCCGAUAACCUUCUGGGAGCCGGCCGCCAGCGGGAUGCAAGGACCUCAGCUAGUGUGCCACGCGGGCCAGCUAUGCAGGGGACAGGGCCUGGGAAACUUCGACCUGGGUUCGUUUCCGAGUCUGCCGCGGGACCUCAGCGUCCUCGCCUGUUUAAUGGGACACUGCCGUGAAAACGGACAUGCAACGCCGGGACCUUCCGAGGCCUGCAGGCCCGAGCACGACUAGUCGAGAAACUCCUUGGGCGGCGAAAGGGCGCCCUCGUAGCGCUCUCGCCUGUCCUGCCUGCGCGCCCACCUGGAGGUGGCCUCUGGGGCUUCCGGUCUCCGGAGAACACGCGGGAAUGAGAGGGUCUGAGCGCGCCGCGCGCUUCCGGCAGGGCCGGGCGCUGUGCUGGGUGAGAGGAGACCGAACUUCAAAGCAGGCGGGCAGAGGGGCGAGGGGCUCCGCCAAGCCCCGGGGCCCUCACCUUCCGGCGGGCUGAGGGAGGGCUCGCCGGAGCAGCGCCAGGCUGCGAGGGAGGUGCCGGGACCCGCUGAGAACUUCCGGGCCCUGCGGGCCUGGUGGCGGGGACUCCAGCCACAGUGCAGAGGUGCGCAAGUCGGGCCCGGGCGACUCUGGGGAGGGGACCCCGAGCUGGACCCGUGGGCCUCGGAGCAGAGAGCGGGGCUGAGGGCAGGGAGUGUGCGGAUGCCCCGGAGUUCGAGCCCGUGGUCGUGGCGGGUAGCUGUGGGGUAGGGUGGUGGGGAGAGCUGAGCGGACGUGGCCCACCCGUCUCCUGACGUUCGCGGUGGGCGGGGCCCCUUGGUCCUUGCAGCGUCCUGUGGGCGACUUCUCCCUGCCCUUCCCCAGGGCCUCAGGGCGGUUUAGACUGUCCUCCUGGAUCCGGCCAGGCCUGAGACUUCUUCACUGUGGGGCCGACUUUCCUCCUUUAGGGCCUCCGGCAAGACCCUGUGCCACGUUUCGCCGCCCUUUUCGUCCUGUGUUGCCAGGUUCUGCAGUACAGCCACUGAUUGCAGUGAAUGCGUGUCCGUGGAGGGACCUUACCUGGGGAGGAUGCCAGCGUCUGUCACUGGUGAAACUUGGUGAUACAGAAGCCAGGGGAUUCCACUGCUCCUGUGUGUUUCAGUUUAUCCUUAGGAUCUAAAUUUAACCAUCGUUAAGCAGAGACCCAAACCCCAGGGCUGCUGACUCCUAGUCCAGUGCUCGUGAUGGCUGGUGGGCCCUGAACUAGGGGUCUGGAGGCCUAGGUUUGAAUAUCACCAGCCUUCGACCCAGCCAGGUGGCUCAUGGGAUGCGUUGGGGAGACUGUGAAAGGUCGGAGCACAACAAGACACUGAGUCAGGAAAAAAUAUUACAUAAAAACUGAUAAGACAAGGACAGUCUGUUUUGCUUUAUUUUUUAAGAGAACAUGUGUGCCUUUAAGUGGGUACUGUGCCUGGGGUGGUAGCACUGAGCUCUGCCUCCCUGGGGGUCUUGGGAAGGGGCCAAGCAGCAGCCUGGUACACAGUAGACAAACCAUGGCUGAGCUCAGAAACCCUGCAGGGAGGCCUCAUGGGAGCCCCCUGCAAGGAUCCAGGUGAGGCCUGCAGGCCUCUAGCUGUGGCCCUGCCAGGACAGCAGGAC
rnacentral:lncRNA from 1 species